AGAGUUUGAUCCUGGCUCAGAUUGAACGCUGGCGGCAUGCCUUACACAUGCAAGUCGAACGGUAGAGGGGCAACCCUUGAGAGUGGCGAACGGGUGAGUAAUGCAUCGGAACGUGCCCAGUCGUGGGGGAUAACGCAGCGAAAGCUGUGCUAAUACCGCAUGUGAUCUGUGGAUGAAAGCAGGGGACUUGGUAGCAAUACCAGGCCUUGUGCGAUUGGAGCGGCCGAUGUCAGAUUAGCUAGUUGGUAGGGUAAAAGCCUACCAAGGCGACGAUCUGUAGCUGGUCUGAGAGGACGACCAGCCACACUGGGACUGAGACACGGCCCAGACUCCUACGGGAGGCAGCAGUGGGGAAUUUUGGACAAUGGGCGCAAGCCUGAUCCAGCAAUGCCGCGUGCAGGACGAAGGCCUUCGGGUUGUAAACUGCUUUUGUACGGAGCGAAACGGUCCGGGUUAAUACCCUAGGCUAAUGACGGUACCGUAAGAAUAAGCACCGGCUAACUACGUGCCAGCCGCCGCGGUAAUUC
rnacentral:rRNA from 1 species